CCGUCGGGGCCAACGUCUUUUCAGGGGCGUCCGACUCCCGGGAGGCAGAAAGACACAGGUCGCGGAGUACCCCUCCUCCCCAGUCAGUGAAGGCCAGAGUCAGGUCUGCUUCCUGUGGCUCCGAGCAUUCUCAGGUUAGAGACUGGCUCAGUAAAAUCCUGUGGACAAGAGCAGGAAAAAGAGAAGGAGGAGGAAGGUGGCCCCAGCCCCUGGAGAGGCCUUGGGGGGGGGGGGGACACUGGAACUGGCCAUUCAGGGACAUCCGGGAUUCUAAGAGGCUGAGAUGAGAUGGAGAGCUCACUAGACCAAGGUGCUGGAAAGGUGGAGUGGCCCAGGACAGAAAUGAAGAAGUGAGGAUGAGAGGAGGGCUUGGGAAGAGAUGUCGGCUUCUGUGGUGAUUUUGAUGAUGCAGGUGGCAUGGACAAUAAGAAGAACUGAUGAAGUGAGAAGAAAAAACUGGCAAGGUCAACUCAAUAAUCACAUAUUAAGUCCUUAUUGUGUGCAAAGCACCAGAUAGGUGCUAGGGGAGAUGCAGAGUUGAAAUGAUGGGCCCCAGUAACACUAAUUACUAUCAUUUAUUUAAACAAAGGACCACUUAUGUCUAAUUAGUGAGCACCCUAAUAGCAAUUGUGUGUAUCAUUAAAUAAGUAUUAGAUUAAGAACAAAAAGACUUUAGUGAUUUGGAACUGUCUGCCUCCUGUGGCUACCUGCUCUACCUUGGGAGAGUUGGCAAUUUGUUAGCUGAAAUCUGGCUCCCUGUAACAGUGCCCAGGUAAAUAGGUUUUUUUUUCAAAGUGACAGAUAUCCCUUUGACGCCUUGUCUUUCCCCAUCUCAGUUUUCAUAUAUCUCAGGUUGGCUUAAGAAAUUGAAUGGGAAUUUUGGGGGAGCUUUGUGGAAACUGCAGAUGACAGGCUAAGGCCAGCAGACCACACAGAAAAAGUUUAGAAAUUCAGAAAUGCAUAAAAUAUAUGUAUAGUAUUGUAUAAU